UCCUUGAAGAGGUUUUACCAGAGAUGUCAUCCAGUGUUGAGGACCACCAGAAACCACUGCCGAGGUUCGAAGUUAAGUACAGUGCCCCAUCUGCUAAAAUCAAGAACCAGGUAAUUUCCCACGAUGGGAAAAUCCAACAGUGUGUAGAAUAUCAAGGUAGAUUGCAGUGGGUAUGAGUAUCUUGACAAUUGACAUCAAAAUUAAGUUUUGUGGGUUGGGUUGGGUUUCACUAUUAAUCCUGUAGCACUAAUACAUUGUUAGCUCAUACAAAGCUAAUUCCUUUUUAUCAGAUUUGUGGUUCGUAAAUUAUGGCAUGAAUUGUGGAAACCCUGCUCCCACAUUGUAUUAGUAUGUGUAUUACAAAGGCUUUUUACAAUAUCGGUUUUACUGGAAGGUUUUGAUUUAUACUGUUUAAUCCGAAUAUCAGUUGCAGUUAGAAUUUACAGAUUCUGGGAACAAUGUAUUGGUUAUCAAUUAGAAUUUACAAAACCAAAAUGUUAAUUAGUCUCUGUAAAGUGUAUACUGAAAAAUACAAAGUUCAGUGAGAAGUACUAAGAACCAAGCUCCCCCGUGUUACUACUAUCAUCUUUCGUAUAGUUUUCCUGGUCGAUCUGCAUAUUUUCUCAUUUCCUGCUGUGACAUAUUGUUUAUUUGUACAUCUUGUAUUCAAGUGAUUAUGAAUAUGGGAGACUAUUGAGUGCUAUAUGGAAAACCACUCAAAUACUUGCCCUAUGAAACAAAUACUCCACAAUUGAAUUGCUAAUUCGAUGCCUGGAGCAUACUGUUGUUUUCAACCUCACUCGCUCAGGAAACAGUGAUGAUGUGUUCGCUUGGCACUUGAUUUCUCAGCAGCGUGUCUGGCUUUAGCCUGAUGCAACUCCAACUUGGCUUGAGCUUCUUUAGCCUUUCUGCGCUCCUUGGCCAUCUCUUUCUCUUCCUGUGUCCUCGCGGCUGCUUUCUCUACCUGCAAGUUUUGCAGCAAUUUCAUUCAAUUCAUUCUUGACACCAGUAAAGAAAAUAAAAAAGAAUGAAGAUAAAGAGAAGGAAUUAAAAUAUGAGUUGCCUUUUUCUUCAACUUUAGCUUUGCAGAUGCCAUGUGCUCUCUAGCAGCACUGGCCAUAUUGCUGAUUUUUGCAUUUGCUGUUUGCAUGCUUCAGUGACAAUAUCUUUGGAUGCAAUAUGAAUUGCUUUGUAAUUGCCAGGAGAAGGUGGCUGCGUGUGUGUAUAUAUACACCGAUAAAUGCAACCAAAAAGAAGUUGCAGAAGCAGCCGCGGUUGAUUUCCACGUGCCAUGCAUGCAGCUGCUAUACCUGUUUUAUGCUGACAAGUAACCAUUUCUUAUUUCCAAUUCUAAAAUUACUGUUUUAAUUAUUUCUAAAAUUAAUUUUUAUAAUAUAUGAAAAUAUUAUAUUUUGUAAUUAAUUUUUAGUUAUUUUUAAAACUCAACUUAAAUGAGAAAAAGUUUUUAUAAUUAAUUUUUAUUGUUCAACAGUCUUGGUUAAAAAAUUAUUCUUCUUCCUUAAUUUUGAGCUUACAUAUUUAUUUUCUGCUAAUUUUUUUACAAUAUUAAUAUUUCAAUUUUUUUCACAAGUUAACUUUUCUUUUCAUUUUCAAAUUUAAUUACAAUGUCCUUUUUUAUUAUUGAAAAUUUUAAAAUUAUUUUUAGAAAAUUAGACACUUUAUUUAUAAUCAUUUAUAUUAAAUUCAAUGUUUUCAAACUCGGACAGGUCAUUGAAUCUAGGGGAGAGCAUUAGGUCAGUUUGGUUUCGAACUAAACCGAUCACUAAAAACUGAAAAACCGAAUCACUUAAAAAAGUAAACCGAACCGAACCAAUCACCUAAGGAUAACCGAAUAGAACCAAACUGAAAAAUAACGGUUCGGUUCGAUUUCAUUGCAUUAAACUGAAAAUAUUAGAAUUUUACAAAAGAACCUAUUUACAUUUAAUAAACAAUAAUUUAUUAAUAGCAAUCCUAAACCUAUUUACACAAAAAAACCUAUUUAUAAAUAUCAAUAAUAUAUAAAAAUCCAUUCAAAAGUACAUAACAUAUAAAUCCAUAAGUCCAUAAAAUUGUCAAUCCAUUCUAAAUAAAAUGUACCAUGAAAUUAUAAUCCAAAAUACAUAAAAGUCCAUAAAAACAGCAAACAUCACUUUAUAAAGUGAUAAAAGUCCACACACAUAACACAUUUGACAUUUCUAUAUUUAAGAUUCACACAUUAAAACACCACACAUUACAUAGAGGUCAAGAGCAGGCCAUAAUAGAUUAAAAUGCAAUGCAAAAUAAAAGUUUAUAAUGGAUUAAAAUCCAUGCAAAACACAAAAUCAUAAGAGGUCAAGAGCAGUCUAACAAUUCCAUGCCUAUUUGAAACCUGCACAAAGUAGAUAAAAAUGACCUAGUCAUCAUCUAAGAAAAAAUUUAAAAAGCACAAACUAAAACUAGCAUAAAGUAAUACUAAAUAUUCAACAAUUAAACUUACAUUUAAUAGUUAGGAGUAGGGGUAGAACUUGAUCCUCCUAAACCAUGUGUAAUUCCAAUAAGUGGCAACACUGAAAAUUGAAGUGUUUUAGCCAACAAGGAAACUCUAUAUCCAAAAGAAAAUAUGAAACAAUAAAAUUGAAAUAUUUAAUAAAUUAAUUUCAUACCCUCUUCAAGCUUUUCAAGUUCUUCUAAAUCUUCCUCAACACUUAUUGGUCUAUUUAAUGAAUGAAGCUAAUCUUAUGCACAUAUCAAGCCCUCCACAAUUUUCGGAAUCAAAGAACUCCUAAAAGCAUCAAGCACUCUCCCACCAGUACUGAGAGCACGCUCUGAAGCAACUGUUGAAACUAGAACAUCCAAUAUUUCUCUUGCCAUUUUUCCUAGGAUAGGAAAUCUCUCAUAAUUAAUCUUCCACCAUUUAAGGAUAUCAAAAUCUUCUUUGUCCUCUUGGAUAGCCUCACUUAGAUACACUUCUAACUCUGUUUUUGAAUCUGCACCACCAAGAACCUCCAACUUUUGCUUCUUAUAGUGAUAUUUCAAAAAAAAAAUUAGCUUAAGACUUAUAGAAGAGCCUGUACCACCAAUUGAGAUCUAUGAACUAUUAUCACUUGAGUGUUUAACAUCAGAUUGGUACAUUCUCUUGUACUCAUUAAACAAUUCAUUCAUUAAUGUUUUCACCUUCUGGAACAACUCUACACCAUUUUCCUUACCGUACAUUUGGCAAAAUAAAUACUCCAUAUACUCAAGUUUAUCAUGAGGGUCAAGAAUAAUGGCAAAAUAAAUAAGUUUAUUCAUUUUAUCUACACCUCUCCAGUACUUGUCAAAUUUGACCCUCAUUCUUUCCCCCAUAGAUUUCAUCUCAAUAUCAUUACUACCCAUCCAUUAGUUUAAUAUAAAAGUUAGGUCACUCAUCUCACUAAAGAACAUGUUGGAUGUGACAUAACGGGAACUCGAAAUACGUAAAGUUAACUCAUAAAAAUGAGACAACAUAUCAGCUAUUUCCUUAACUUGAGACCAAUCAUAAAAAUUAGGCAUCCCAUUCUCUCUAAUGUUAAGCUUGAACAUAGGUUCUUGUGACUCAUACCUCUCAAAUGCCCUUCCAUAUUUUUGUGUUGUAUUCAACAUUAAGUAAGUUGAAUUCCACCUAGUAGGCACAUCUAAAUACAAAAAAGCCUUGCCUUCAAUUUUUUCAUAUUCAACACACUGCUUAAACUUUUUCAACCUAGGUGGAGAACUCCUAAUGUAUCUUACUGCAUCCCUAACCUUCAUCACCGACUCACGAACAACUUUUAAUCCAUCCAUGACAACCAAAUUAAUGAUAUGUGCCAUACACCUCAUAUUAAGGUAAGUAGAAUUAGCAACACUAACACCCCAAUUGGCAAGCUUCUUUUUUAAAUAAGAGAUUGCUUCAUCAUUUGAACUUGCAUUGUCUACUGUAAUAGUGAAUAUCUUAUCUAAACCCCAUUCUAGCAAGCAAGUUUCAAUUGACCUAACAAUGGCAUCACCUUUAUGACUAAAAAUAAGACAAAAAUUAAUAAUUCUCUUAUGCAACUUCCAAUCCUUGUCAAUAAAGUGAGCAGUGACACACAUAUAAUUUAUUCUCUAUAAUGGUGUCCAUGUAUCUAUAGUAAGACUCACUCUUUGACAAUUUCUCUUGAAAAAGACUUCAAUCUUGUCCUCUCCUCAAUAAACAUUUGAUAACAAUCCCAUGAAAUAGUCCAACAGGAGGGAAUCCUAAACCUAGGACAUAUGGUCUCAUGAAUCUUCUAAAUCCCUCAUCAUCAAUAAAUCUAAAAGAAAAUUCAUCAAUUAUAAUCAUUUGAACAAGAGCUUCCCUAAUUGCAUCUUCAUCAUAUUUCCAAGUAGAAAGUGUGCUUACAUCCCCUAAAAUUUCAUCAAAUGAAUUUGGUUGCAAAGCUAAUUGUGUUUGCUUAGUCUCAAUGGCAUGUGGAUGCUUUUUGCAUGCAUUCAUGUGAUUCCUAAGUGCAGUUGUUCCAUUUUUUUUUUAUCACAACAAAAUUCUUUGCUACAAUAAUUACACUUGCCUUUAAUUUCGCCCUUAGUAGUUGUGAACUUGGUGAAGUGAUCCUAAACUAGAGACCUUGGUCUAAUUGGCUUUCGCUUCACAACUUCUUUUUUAUUUUGAUUUUGAAUUAGAUGUAUCUGCAGCCUCAGCUUCACUUUGAUUAGAAUCAGUAGUACUUUUAGUUUUUGGAUCUUCUUGCCCACUAAAAGAAUCCAUUUGGAGUAAAUGGUGGCGAGAUAGGUAAUUUUGGAAGGCAAGUGAAGGUGAUUCGGUGAGGCCAAAUAUCUUUAAUCCACACUCCAUAAACUUUUCAAAACAAUACCCACUUCAGCAACAGGGUGGCGCUAGCAUCGAAUGGACUUCUAAGGGACAACAGCAACUCAUGACGAAGGCAACUGAUAAGGACGGCAACACAAGGCAAAGACUAGGGAGGAAUAAGAAAAGAGAAGAGAGGAGAGAACUGAAAAGGGAGGCGAGGCACAGUGGCGGUUGCAGACUCGCAGUUGACAGCACAAAGAAACAGAUGAGAGAAUUUUAGCUUUUAGGGAUUUUACAAUUUAGGGUUCUUUAUUGAAGACUAAAUGUUUUAGGUAAUUUCUAUUCUCUAGACUUGAACGGAAAAUUAGACUGGAUAAGGGCCAAAACCUUGGGACUUAUGCAUCCUAGGCUAAAAAAUCACUUGUGCCAUUUGCUAUGCCGUUUAGUUGGUUUUGUCGGUUUUAACCGAUAAAAAACUGAACUGAACUGAAAAUCGAACAUGCUAAAAAUCUCUAACCCACCGCACCGACAAAACAAAAAACUGAACUAAUUGAACCGAAAUGGCUUUGUUCGGUUCGAUUUUUCAGUUCAAACUGAAAACUGCUCAGGCCUACUUGAUUGGAUUUGUUUAUUUCUUUUCAAUCUCUGCAUGGUCUGGGGGCAUCCCUUUCUCAUCAUUUCUAUCUCUCUCUAUCUUCGUUUUCAAAUUGCGAUAGAAUCAUCUUGCUUUCUUUGGUUAUAUUUUGGCAUGUAGCCAUUGUUGCUUGGCCUUACCUACACCAUGUGUGCACACACACACCACACAUGAGUGCAAAGGCACUGGUAAUGGUUCUAGUCUUGAUAAAGGUGAUCUGCUCUCUUGCUAGGAAAGUGAUCUGACUUUAGGUGGAGUAUGUUUAGAGAAACAUGGUAUGAUGGAUGGUCAGAGGGAAAGAAUAAAAUUUCAUAUGAAGUUAGUGAUAAAGAUAUAAGCAAGGCAGCAAGGCAGCUAUAACUUAUGCAGGGGAGCAACCCGAAGAUGUGAGACUUAGCAAAAACGGUGUGCAACAUUUUUAAGUAAAACACGUGCAGCAUGGAUGAAUAAAAUGGUGUGUUGCAAUAACACAAACAAAGAAAAGCUACGACUCAAAGAAUGCAUCGAGGGCAACAUAAAGCAGAAUUGGUUAGGCUGCCGUAGUUUGUUACUGUUUGUUGGGUUUGGCAGGAAAGCUUCUCUCCGGCUGUGCAAAUUAGUUAGAUAGUUUCUAGAAUCUCCAUUCGACUUGUAUAUAAGAACAUUAUGUGUAGCAUGUUAAAUAUAUAUACAAUGAGACAUGAAUACAUUUCUUUUCUCCCAAAUUAAGUUCUUCAGUAUUUUUCAGGUUCAAGACUUGAUCAGUUAGAUCAGGACAGAGCUGGUUACGGCCAUUGGAAUCCUUCAGAAAAUUUUUAGAAUAAUUAAGAUUUGCCAUAGGAUCUUUAUAUUAUUAAUGACAUAAUAAUUGGUGUUGCACUUUAAUUUUGUUGUCUAAUUUUAUUGAUGCCUGGAAGUUAGUAAUUGCAUAGCUAUACUUUGUUUAAACUGAAUGUUUGAGACAUUCGAUUCUGACUUACAUAAUCAACAUGCUGAGCAUUCAUGUGUGUAGCUAGCAUCUACUGACCCAAUUCUCUAUAAUUGAUCUAAAGCUUUCACCAUUGCUAACCUGUGUCUGACUUCACACUCUAGGGAUAUAUGUUGGCGAUGGAAUG
rnacentral:misc_RNA from 1 species